UGGAAAUGAUGAAAUUGAGAUUAAUGGGUGUGUUUGUAUGUCUAUGUGUGUAUUAAGGGUGGCAGUAUUUUUUUAGGUAGUUAUCAGGUAAUGGUAAGGUACACAAGUUCAAUGGUUUAAAACUCUUAUGAUGAAUGAGUGUGAAUGGGGUUGUGUAUGUUGAGGUUGGCGAUGGUGGGGUCUGAUUUCAAGGCUUAGUGCUGAUACUGAAGUGCACCUGAAGGCAAUCACAGCUCAUUUUCAGGGCUUUGCAGUGUGAUUGUGCUGAUGAUUAGAGCCCCAGAGAGCCCACCGGGUCAACCGAGGCACCCAGACUUCUCUAACAGGCGACUCUGUCACUGUGAGCUGAUCCAA